UUUGUCUCAGAGCUUGAUACAAGAAUGAAGUAACACUUUUGUAAGGGCCUAGAUGUCAGGGGACACUUCCAACAGCUGCCUGUGAGAGGAUGCAUGCAUUUUUUUAUCAUUAGUAGAACACCAGAUAUGUGCCAGGUGCCAUUGCUCCCCAGCUGCCUCCUUUAGACCUUUCAGGCAUACACUGCGCUUCAGACUCGGGGUCUGGGAAAGCCCCCCUGAAGCAGGAGCAGCAGGAAGGCAAAGAAAGGCAGGACUCUCCCUCCUCACACCCACUGACACCCCGCCGCCCUCAGCGAGCCGAGGCCAGCCCCGUGCCAACCCUUACCCGUGGCCUUUUCCCACCUCUAGCCACACUAUACCUCAACCAGGCGCCACCGCCUCCCUCGGGGCCACCUGCAGGCGGUGCAUGCGCACUGGGCCUCGCGGGCGGCUUCUGGAGGCUUCUAAGGGGGGCGGGCUGUGCGCUGAGGGUUGUGCUCGGGCCUCAUGGCUGUGGGGAUGGUGGUAGUGGCUCAGGUGAUGGUCGUGUGGCACUGCCUCUGCGAGCUGAAGGGCAUUGCCUUGACUUCUGUCUUCUGGAAUAUUUCGUUAGCUACUCACUUGUGGUGUGAAUGCUUCGAAGAGGUAGGCUAAGUGCUGCCAUGAUGAGGGGUGUUGUGAUGUGCAAGGCUGUGCUGAAAUGGCACGCAGAAGAUCUGUUCCAGUAUAAGUGUGCUGUGAAAAAUGAGUAAAAAUUUCUGUUAUAUUUAUUGGUGAACUUAUUGGUGAACGUUGGGAUUUAUGUGUUUUGUUUUUUUUAAUGAUGUAAGCUUUGGGGGUUUUGCUGUCCGUUUGGUCAAGUAGCUAGAUUGUAGCAGCCCCAGUCUUGAAGAUAUUUUUGUUGGCCUUUGGAUGUAAUGUAAUGGGCUAUGUGCUGCAAGUAGGUUGAGACAGGAGAACAAGUAUGUUGUGGCAUGCUGAAGAUGGGUGUGGUUGUAUGUGAAUAAAUAUGGAUGGUGGAUCUUCAUUGGGAUUCAACAUAGAGCCCCAUUAAGAAAGCUGGCUAGAAGUCUUCUGUACGUGUAAAUCAGUUGUCUAGGCUAAUGCUGCUUACACAAGUAGCAAAAAUCUGUAGGCCUGCUUUAGAAGUACACUUUUUAGAUGUGCUUUAGAAUAGUUACACAUCUGUUGCUUUCCUACAGUAGCAUCAAAGAAGACUCAGCAGCUGGGCAAUAUGGAAGUCUUCAUACUACAGAUUUGUGUGGUUUUCAGUGAAGAACUGAAAUGCUGGUGUAGAGCAGUUAUUAAGUCAAUCAUGUACUGUGCAGGUCAUUAUCAAACAGAAUGCUUUCUUGUGGAUUAUGCCAAAUACACUUUUGUUAAAACAAAGGAUGUUCGAGCUGCAGUGAAAGCAUUUAUGCAAAUCCCAUAUAGAGCAAAAAAAUGUAGAUUGUAUUGCACAAAGCCGGUGACGUCAUGUAUCAACUUUUGUGAAGAUACAGCAAAAAUAGUGUAAGUAGAGUUGAAUAAUUGUAUUCUAGUCAUAGAUUUCUUAGGUGUGAAAUUUCAUCACAAUAUUUUUUUUUCUUCAGAGGAUACUGUUUCAAUAAGAACAUAGGAGAUAAGAUGUGGAAAACAAUUUCUUUUUUACAAGAGCAAUUC